CGAGCGUUGUCCGGAAUCAUUGGGCGUAAAGCGCGUGUAGGCGGCCCGGUAAGUCCGCUGUGAAAGUCCAGGGCUCAACCCUGGGAUGCCGGUGGAUACUGUCGGGCUCGAGUCCGGAAGAGGCGAGUGGAAUUCCUGGUGUAGCGGUGAAAUGCGCAGAUAUCAGGAGGAACACCAAUGGCGAAGGCAGCUCGCUGGGACGUGACUGACGCUGAGACGCGAAAGCGUGGGGAGCAAACAGG
rnacentral:rRNA from 1 species